CCUACGGGAGGCAGCAGUGAGGAAUAUUGGUCAAUGGGCGCGAGCCUGAACCAGCCAAGUAGCGUGAAGGAUGACUGCCCUACGGGUUGUAAACUUCUUUUAUGAAGAAAUAAAGUGAGGCACGUGUGCCUUUUUGUAUGUACUUUAUGAGUAAGGAUCGGCUAACUCCGUGCCAGCAGCCGCGGUAAUACGGAGGAUCCGAUCGUUAUCCGGAUUUAUUGGGUUUAAAGGGAGCGUAGAUGGGUUGUUAAGUCAGUUGUGAAAGUUUGGGGCUCAACCGGAAAAUUGCAAUUGAUACUGGCAGCCUUGAGUACAGUUGAGGUAGGCGGAAUUCGUGGUGUAGCGGUGAAAUGCUUAGAUAUCACGAAGAACACCGAUUGCGAAGGCAGCCUACUAAACGGCCACUGACAUUGAUGCUCGAAAGUGUGGGUAGCAAACAGGAUUAGAUACCCCAGUAGUC
rnacentral:rRNA from 1 species